UACGUAGGUGGCAAGCGUUGUCCGGAUUUACUGGGCGUAAAGAGCGCGCAGGCGGUCGUUCAAGUCGCGUGUGAAAGCCCCCGGCUCAACUGGGGAGGGUCACGCGAUACUGAUCGACUCGAAGGCAGGAGAGGGAAGUGGAAUUCCCGGUGUAGUGGUGAAAUGCGUAGAUAUCGGGAGGAACACCAGUGGCGAAGGCGACUUCCUGGCCUGUUCUUGACGCUGAGGCGCGAAAGCUAGGGGAGCAAACGGGGAU
rnacentral:rRNA from 1 species